rnacentral:lncRNA from 10 species
CCGCCCCGCGCCCGGCUCCGCGCGCAGUUUGACAGCUUUGCUCCGCGCCUCUGCUCGCCUCCUCCCACCAACUCCAGCGUCCAGGCGCUAGCCUUUGCUUCUCCCGCCUGGCUUUAUUCAGCUCCCGAGGGCGCGGGGAUGCAGCCGGACGCCACUCCUGGCCUAGAGAGACUGGGCUCUGGCCACCGCGAGCGACCGGGUACGGAGCUGAGCCCAGGGAAGUGCGCGCACCGCCCGGCGCACCCCUCAGGCUGGCAAACGCCCUCCCUCGCCCGCUCUUUGUCCAGCUCCCUCGCCUCCUCGCAAAGUUUUCUCGACACAAAGACCAACACCUGGGGACAGCCCCCAGCGCGCGGCGAGAAGGCGGUUUCAGCCAGGCAGAUGUUUCAGCAGUUGAUGAAUUAGGAGGGGAGGUGGGGGAAGGGGAGGAGAGAAGAAAUAUCCAAGACAGGCCAACUUCAGUGAAGAUGCUGACUACAGUUUGUGGGCGAGGCUCUCAGCCCUCGAGAAACCACUCCCUCCAGGUGCUGAUCUUUAUCUCCAUUUAUAGACCCGAUACUGGGUCGGGAGAGCUCUCCGAGCUGCCCCCAGAUCACGCAGUCCUGGCUGGAACCCUCGGCUAGAACCCCAAUGGGAGACUCAGCGCCCGCCUUCCCUCCGCCCUCGCGGUGCUGACGCCGGGUGGCCUUCAUCUCCCCAGUUCUUGGACUCUCAAUGACCCUAAGAUCAAUAACCGCGGGAGGCCUGUCUUGAUCAAAAUGCCUUCUAGAAAAAUAUGGCUCCCACAAGGGGUAAUGCCCCCCACCCUUCCGAAUAUUGUACACUUUCACAGCCUUAGACAGUUUAAGUCAAAUUACAUUUCACACCAACCAUUGGCCAGGGGUGGGAAGGGCCCCAUUAAGUUUUACUGGAAUUAGAUAAUUACCUUUUAUUUUCUUUGCACGAAUUGGAACAAUUCCUGAAAUUAAGAAAUGUAACUUUCCAGAAAUGAUCAUCUGGUUUAUGAAAGGGUCCUUUGGGUUUGAGUGUGGGGAGGAGGAGUCCUGUUGGAGAAGCUACAUGGAAUGUCCUAAGUGCUGGAAACCACACCCCAGUGAAUGGGAGGGGCGUGUCGGCCUUAUCCCCUGGACCACUCAGAGGAGUUUGGCGAGGGGCUGGCAGCAGCCAAGUCCCUUCAUGGCGCCCCCGGGGAUGUAAGAGGGCCUUCUGAUUUUCUACCAAAGUACUGCUUGUGCCCAGAGCCCUUCUGCCCCUUCGUGUGUAAGGAGGGGCAGGAGGGAGGCUUCCAAGCCGGGGGCUGCUGCCCUUGUUGACCCUGGGAGCCAGGGCAGGCUCUCCCCUGCAGGAAGAGGUCCCAUCACCCAGCCUGGAGAAUGGAUUAGGGAAGCAGCACAGCGUCAAGGGAGAGCUCUGCCUCACCUCCUUUGAGGAGUGCCAGGAGCAGAUGUCUUUUCCCCAGAGGAAGCGUGUACUAAUUCCCACCUCAGCGCUUCAUUUCCUUCCCAUUCCUUGGCGAAGUCAGCGCACCCUGCUCCUUUUACAGGGAGGAAAACAGGCUGUAACACAUUCCCCCAUUGGGCCAAAAACCUUGGAGACACUUCAGGGCUCCUUUCUUACAUCCUGUUCACCUUGUGACGACCUCAUCAUCACCCAACCUGGAUGUCUCUGUUCAUGGCUGAGAAUCACAGCAAACCCCCAGCUUUUGGAGUGAGGGGGCGAUUCAAAGAAAAUACGCGGUGGCUUCACAUCCACGUGGUGUCCCAGUCUCAACAGCAAACGCAGGCAGAGCGGGCUAUGUCCCCGGCUACCUCACCAUCGCUCAGACACCACUGCUGGUGAUUUCGUGCAGGAAGCAACACAGAAGAUACAUUAACAUGGGGGAGGGGUAGACAAGUAUGAGGAUCAUAAUAAAGAGACUUUCCAAAUCUCCACAAAUAAAGUCCUUGGUGAGGUCUUCCAGUCAUCCCGCACUGCUCAGCUCUCUGUGAGAAUAAUUAUCGUCACCUUGAAUGCAGCAGCGUGGAGACUACUACAUAUUUUG